GUAUACAAGGAGAGCUGAAAUACGAGGAGAAUAGAAUGAGAACUGCAGACGAGUUCUUAUUACAUGACAGUUAACAUCAAGGAGAAUACAAGGAGGUGGGAAUACUAGAAAUGCUUGUGCUGCUCGCUUGGCCUGUCUCUAUGGAACUUGGUGGUAAAAGUCCAAUUGUAAUUUUUGAAGAUACAGAUCUUGAUAAAGCUUCCGAGUGGAAUAUUUUUGGUUGCUUUUGGAAAAAUGGCCAUGUUGGUUUAGGAUAAGCAGAAUCAUUAUCAUGGUUAAUGUUAUAUUCUGGUUUCAGAGUGAUGUAGCAGCAUCUGAAGCAAAUAAGGAAAGUGAUGAUCCAAAAAUAAGGAGGAGAAGGAAGUCGAGGCCAAGAAAUACGGUGACGACAAGUUGUCUUAUAUAUUAGCCAACCCAAAGUAAGCCACACUGUUCCAUAAUAAAUAUCUUGCAAGGGAAGAUACGUAUGAACCUCUCUUAAGGAACGACGUUCUUUGUCGUAUGUGAACCAGGGACACAACACAUGGAUGCUCUGCCUGAUAUCAUUUAUGAAGUAUUGGCUAAGUUCAUCGUCAUCGGAGGAGCU